rnacentral:ncRNA from 1 species
AUAAGAUAAAGGCAAACCUCUCGAAAGAUAGGGACGCAAAGCUACAGGUCUAAAGUACUGAACAAUGAUGGCUGAGCUGCUAAA